rnacentral:rRNA from 1 species
UUUGCCUUAACACAUGCUAGUCGAGCGCUUCGCAAGGGGAGCGGCAGACGGGUGAGUAACGCGUGGGAAUCUACCCUUUUCUACGGAAUAACGCAGGGAAACUUGUGCUAAUACCGUAUGAGCCCUUCGGGGGAAAGAUUUAUCGGGAAAGGAUGAGCCCGCGUUGGAUUAGCUAGUUGGUUGGGUAAAGGCCUACCAAGGCGACGAUCCGUAGCUGGUCUGAGAGGAUGAUCAGCCACAUUGGGACUGAGACACGGCCCAAACUCCUACGGGAGGCAGCAGUGGGGAAUAUUGGACAAUGGGCGCAAGCCUGAUCCAGCCAUGCCGCGUGAGUGAUGAAGGCCCUAGGGUUGUAAAGCUCCUUCACCGGUGAAGAUAAUGACGGUAACCGGAGAAGAAGCCCCGGCUAACUUCGUGCCAGCAGCCGCGGUAAUACGAAGGGGGCUAGCGUUGUUCGGAAUUACUGGGCGUAAAGCGCACGUAGGCGGAUUGUUAAGUGAGGGGUGAAAUCCCAGGGCUCAACCCUGGAACUGCCCUUCAUACUGGCAAUCUAGAGUCCAGAAGAGGUGAGUGGAAUUCCGAGUGUAGAGGUGAAAUUCGUAGAUAUUCGGAGGAACACCAGUGGCGAAGGCGGCUCACUGGUCUGGAACUGACGCUGAGGUGCGAAAGCGUGGGAGCAAACAGGAUUAGAUACCCUGGUAGUCCACGCCGUAAACGAUGAAUGUUAGCCGUCGGGCAGUUUACUGUUCGGUGGCGCAGCUACGCAUUAAACAUUCCGCCUGGGG